UACAGAGGUCUCAAGCGUUGUUCGGAUUCAUUGGGCGUAAAGGGUGCGUAGGUGGCGCGUUAAGUCAGGUGUGAAAUUUCGGAGCUUAACUCCGAAACUGCAUUUGAUACUGGCGUGCUUGAGGACUGGAGAGGAGACUGGAAUUCACGGUGUAGCAGUGAAAUGCGUAGAUAUCGUGAGGAAGACCAGUGGCGAAGGCGGGUCUCUGGACAGUUCCUGACACUGAGGCACGAAGGCCAGGGGAGCGAACGGG
rnacentral:rRNA from 1 species